AGCUGGUUGGUGGGGUAACGGCCCACCAAGGCGACGAUCAGUAGCUGGUCUGAGAGGAUGAUCAGCCACACUGGGACUGAGACACGGCCCAGACUCCUACGGGAGGCAGCAGUGGGGAAUUUUCCGCAAUGGGCGAAAGCCUGACGGAGCAACGCCGCGUGGGGGAUGAAGGCCUCUGGGCUGUAAACCUCUUUUCUCAAGGAAGAAGACAUGACGGUACUUGAGGAAUAAGCCACGGCUAAUUCCGUGCCAGCAGCCGCGGUAAUACGGGAGUGGCAAGCGUUAUCCGGAAUUAUUGAGCGUAAAGCGUCCGCAGGCGGCCCUGUAAGUCUGUCGUUAAAGCGUGGAGCUUAACUCCAUUUCAGCGAUGGAAACUACAGGGCUUGAGUGUGGUAGGGGCAGAGGGAAUUCCCGGUGUAGCGGUGAAAUGCGUAGAUAUCGGGAAGAACACCAGUGGCGAAGGCGCUCUGCUGGGCCAUAACUGACGCUCAUGGACGAAAGCCAGGGGAGCGAAAGGGAUUAGAUACCCCUGUAGUCCUGGCCGUAAACGAUGAACACUAGGUGUCGGGGGAAUCGACCCCCUCGGUGUCGUAGCCAACGCGUUAAGUGUUCCGCCUGGGGAGUACGCACGCAAGUGUGAAACUCAAAGGAAUUGACGGGGGCCCGCACAAGCGGUGGAGUAUGUGGUUUAAUUCGAUGCAACGCGAAGAACCUUACCAGGGUUUGACAUCCUGCGAAUCCCUUGGAAACUUGGGAGUGCCUUCGGGAGCGCAGAGACAGGUGGUGCAUGGCUGUCGUCAGCUCGUGUCGUGAGAUGUUGGGUUAAGUCCCGCAACGAGCGCAACCCACGUCUUUAGUUGCCAGCAUUCAGUUGGGCACUCUAGAGAGACCGCCGGUGAUAAACCGGAGGAAGGUGUGGAUGACGUCAAGUCAUCAUGCCCCUUACAUCCUGGGCUACACACGUACUACAAUGCUACGGACAGAGGGCAGCAAGCUCGCGAGAGUUAGCAAAUCCCAUAAACCGUGGCUCAGUUCAGAUCGUAGGCUGCAACUCGCCUACGUGAAGGAGGAAUCGCUAGUAAUCGCAGGUCAGCAUACUGCGGUGAAUACGUUCCCGGGCCUUGUACACACCGCCCGUCACACCAUGGAAAUUGGCCAUGCCCGAAGUCGUUACUCCAACCCUUGUGGAGGAGGACGCCGAAGGUGGGGCUGAUGACUGGGGUGAAGUCGUAACAAGGUAGCCGUACCGGAAGGUGCGGCUG
rnacentral:rRNA from 1 species